UCCCUGGUGGCUCAGAGGUAAAGAACUUGCCUGCAAUGCAGGAAACCCAGGUUCGAUCCCUGGGUGAGGAA
rfam:Ovis aries breed Texel chromosome 7, whole genome shotgun sequence.